rnacentral:rRNA from 1 species
UACGUAGGGGGCAAGCGUUGUCCGGAAUUAUUGGGCGUAAAGGGCGCGUAGGCGGCUCGGCACGUCCGUUGUGAAAUCGCCCGGCUCAACUGGGCGGGGUCGGCGGAUACGGCCGAGCUGGAGCAAGCUAGGGGGUAAUGGAAUUCCCGGUGUAGUGGUGGAAUGCGUAGAUAUCGGGAGGAACACCAGUGGCGAAGGCGGUUACCUGGAGCUUUGCUGACGCUGAUGCGCGAAAGCGUGGGGAGCGAUCCGG